UGGGGAAUCUUGCGCAAUGCGCGAAAGCGUGACGCAGCAACGCCGCGUGGGGGAAGAAGGCCUUCGGGUUGUAAACCCCUUUCAGGAGGGACGAAGCGUGGGCGGUUAAUAGCCGAUCCACGUGACGGUACCUCCAGAAGAAGCCCCGGCUAACUACGUGCCAGCAGCCGCGGUAAUACGUAGGGGGCAAGCGUUGUCCGGAAUCAUUGGGCGUAAAGCGCGUGUAGGCGGUCCGGUAAGUCGGCUGUGAAAGUCCAGGGCUCAACCCUGGGAUGCCGGUCGAUACUGCCGGACUAGAGUUCGGAAGAGGCGAGUGGAAUUCCCGGUGUAGCGGUGAAAUGCGCAGAUAUCGGGAGGAACACCAAUGGCGAAGGCAGCUCGCUGGGACGUUACUGACGCUGAGACGCGAAAGCGUGGGGAGCAAACAGG
rnacentral:rRNA from 1 species